GGAGAGGUGGCAGAGUGGUCGAAUGCGAACGACUUGAAAUCGUUUGAACCGCAAGGUUCCGUGGGUUCGAAUCCCACCCUCUCCG
rnacentral:tRNA from 9 species